AUUUCGUUCAAUUUCUAAGUUUAUAACAUGUUUAUUUCAGCUGUUGAUAAUCAAUGAUAGGUAAUUAAUAAAUACAGAAUCAAUUAUUAAUAGCUAAAAUUAAUAGUUUUAUAGCUAAAAUUAUUAGUUUUAGUGUUUUAAAGCUUGUUUAGCUUAGCAUAUACGAUUAAGAGGGUGCUCGUCCUAUAAAAUCUAAAAAUAAAACUAAACUGUUCAUUUAUAAUAUUUUUUGAGCUUAUAAAUAGAAUUUAUAAACUAAAAAAAAAUCAAUUGAAAGCACCAGUUAAGCACUAUACUUA
rnacentral:misc_RNA from 1 species